UACGAAGGGGGCUAGCGUUGCUCGGAAUCACUGGGCGUAAAGGGUGCGUAGGCGGGUCUUUAAGUCCGGGGUGAAAUCCUGGGGCUCAACUCCAGAACUGCCUUUGAUACUGAAGAUCUUGAGUUCGGGAGAGGUGAGUGGAACUGCGAGUGUAGAGGUGAAAUUCGUAGAUAUUCGCAAGAACACCAGUGGCGAAGGCGGCUCACUGGCCCGAUACUGACGCUGAGGCACGAAAGCGUGGGGAGCAAACAGG
rnacentral:rRNA from 1 species